rnacentral:lncRNA from 1 species
AGCGGAGGCCUGUCUGGAAGUCUCCCUGGAGCCCUGGCCGGACGGCGCCGGCCGACAGCGUCCCCCAGCCCGCGGUAUCGCGAUCCGCCCCUGCACCCCGGGAGCGCGGUCACGGCCGCCCGGGCCCCGGAAACUGCUCACGACGCCCCCGGGCGCUUACGGUCGUCUGCUCCUGGCUCCCGAGCUUGGCGGCAGCAGAGUCUGAGAAGCAUUAGUGUGGGUGAAAGUACGACCCAUUCAGAGGUCUUCAUCGCACUCGUAGAGGACGGACGUGAGGGCACGGAUGGGGCGAAGGAUGCAGUUUCAACACCCGGCAUCCUCAGGAUCACAGCCAGCAGACCAGAACCAGGGCCUGUUACAGGGAUACUAAACUUCUGACUGUCACCCUGCAUACAACUUCAGGAUAAAGUUCACCCCCUUGGCCUCCAAUCUUACUGCUCACCCUGGCCCAAGAACUCUCCAUUUCAAUGAAGAGAGGCUGUUCCUGGCUAACAAACACACUCAAUUCAAUCACAUCUCCAAACUGCUCCUGCAGCAUGCCUGGAAAGGAUGCUCUCCUACA